GCCAACAUAGUUUAGUGGUUUGAGUGUAGGACUAGGACUCCAGAGGCCAGGGUUUAAAUUCCUGCUUGGCC